AAAAAAAAAAAAACAGAUAUAUUUAAUAAAUAUAUAAUCUUAUUUCAAAAUCUUAAAUUUAAUAUUAAAUUUAUUAAAUGUUGUUAUUAAAACAUAUUUUGACUUAUUUGAUGCUAACCAAAAAUCUUUAGUUAUAAAUUGAUUUUUUUAAAUGAUUACAUAUUGAGGUUUGAUUAUAUUUAAAUUAUAUAUAUGUAAUUUUAAAUUUAGGAAAGUUUCAUUAAACUUCAACAACACAAGAAUCUUAAAAUAGUGAAAGGCAUUUCAUCCAUAAGAUAUUGAAAGAUGUCAAUGGUAUCACUUAAAUUUAUUAAUUAAUGCUAUUAAAAUUAAUUAAUUGAUAGUUUAUCAUCAUAGUGUCCAUGUGAAUAAAGAAUCAUUAUAAUCAAAUUAUGCAAUUCUAAAUCUUUUUGAAAGUGUUUAAAUAUAUGAUCUAUUAGAAUUUUAAAAUAUUUUCUAAUUAAAUUUUAUCAGUUUGAUUACUUAGUUUGUUUAUAUUAAUCUUGCUAUAUUUAUUAGUUUGUACUUUGCAUUUAUUUUGUUGAAAUUACAUUUAGAAAAUUCAUCAGAAUAGUUAAUAAAUUUUGCUUCUGUAUCAGAUCAGAUAAAUAAUUAGUUUAAUUUAGUGAAAAGUUAACCAUUGCAUAUUUUUAGAAGUUUUGUAAAUAGAGGCAUACCUUGCAAUUAUGCCUCUAUUUACAAUCAGUUACAUUCCAGACCAAUGCUGUAAAGUAAAUCAUAAAAUCCUUUUUCAUUUGCUGUUCUAUAUAAAAGCCAAAAAACAUAUUUACAUUAUCAUUAAGUGUGCAAUAACAUUAGACUUAAAAAUCUCAGUUGGAUGGCUGCUUGGCAAAGCAUUCACUUACCACCUUGGAGAUCAGGUUCAAUUCCAGAUCUCAUACAUCCAGUUUUUCAGGGGGUCUGAUCAUUUGUGUUAAUUUAUGUUUUAUGUACCUAUUUUAAGUAUCAUUUUGUGACAAAUUGCAGAUAAUUUUCCUUUUGAGAUAUAAAGUAAAAACAUGAAAAAUAAUUGAAAGGUGCUAU
rnacentral:lncRNA from 1 species